GUGGAGACAUGGAAGUGAAGA
rnacentral:miRNA from 1 species